CGAACGCUGGCGGCGUGCCUAAUACAUGCAAGUCGAACGAGAGCGACCGGUGCUUGCACUGGUCAAUCUAGUGGCGAACGGGUGAGUAACACGUGGGUAACCUGCCCAUCAGAGGGGGAUAACAUCCGGAAACGGAUGCUAAAACCGCAUAGGUCUUCGAACCGCAUGGUUUGAAGAGGAAAAGAGGCGCAAGCUUCUGCUGAUGGAUGGACCCGCGGUGCAUUAGCUAGUUGGUGAGGUAACGGCUCACCAAGGCCGUGAUGCAUAGCCGACCUGAGAGGGUGAUCGGCCACAUUGGGACUGAGACACGGCCCAAACUCCUACGGGAGGCAGCAGUAGGGAAUCUUCCGCAAUGGACGCAAGUCUGACGGAGCAACGCCGCGUGAGUGAAGAAGGUUUUCGGAUCGUAAAACUCUGUUGUUAGAGAAGAACAAGUGCUAGAGUAACUGUUAGCGCCUUGACGGUAUCUAACCAGAAAGCCACGGCUAACUACGUG
rnacentral:rRNA from 1 species